rnacentral:sRNA from 1 species
UACCUAAGCAAAACAGUAGUGGUGACAGC